rnacentral:lncRNA from 1 species
GACAAACAUAGAGAAGGGAAAUGGUCCUGUCUGGCCCGCAGGCUGUGUGUGGAGCCACGGCUGGGGAUGAGGCCAGAUACGAAUAGCAAUUGCUAGCAUUUCCUGAGCACCUGUGCAUUUUCCAGGCACGCUCUAUGUGUUGUGACUUAGCUGAUCAUUACAGUAGCCCCAUGGGGUGGUAUUAAUAUAACCUUUAUUUUACAGCUUCACAGGGAGGGUAAGUAUCAUGCUGCGAGCAUGAAGAAUGGAGAAGCCAAGAUUCAGCCCAGCCAGUUAGACUCCAGAGCCUGUGCUCCUAAUGCCACUCCGGAUGGCCCUGAUGGUCUUGAAUUUUCCUUGCCAAUUGAUAAAGUUGGCUCUUUCUAUCUUUUGGUCCAGGAAGAAAAAGCAUGGUGGAAACCAGACUGUGUUUUCUAUGCGGGCAGCAGGGAAGGCAUGGCCUUGUGGAUUGUGUCCCUCAACACUGAUAAGCUGUGACAUCAGGGGCCUGGGAGGACCUCCAGCUGUUCCACCUAUGCUGGAUCCUGGAGUGCACGAUAACAUUCAGGAAGUUGAAGGAGCCCAGAUAAUGAAUAACAAGCACAUGUAAUCUCUUUCACUGAGUUUCUUAAGUUGUCUGAGUACUCAUGCAUCUCCAACUUGGAGAAGACUUGUUUUCUUCAAUUUCUUCCUUCUAGCACAAAAAGUGUUGUUUAAUUACCCCAGUUGGCCUAGCUUCUCCAUAAAUGCCUUUUCCUUCUAGAGUCAAAAUCUUAAGAAAACCAGUCAGGACUGGAACAGAUGCACAAAACUUGUUUUCCAUGAAGUAAACACUUUUCUUUGGUUUCUUCUGGUGUUAAUAGUACAUGACACGUUUUAUUGCACUAUGAAUACAUGUAGUAGAUAACUCUGGGAGGAAAGGUAUUGUCAACCUCUCAGGUUACUGAAAUUUCUGGAGAGUGCAAAACCAGGCAGAAAAUGUCAGAAAAGAAAGCUCCUUUACAAAAGGACAAUUCAG